rnacentral:rRNA from 1 species
UACGUAGGGUGCAAGCGUUGUCCGGAAUUAUUGGGCGUAAGGAGCUCGUAGGCGGUCUGUCGCGUCGGCUGUGAAAACCCGGGGCUCAACCCCGGGCCUGCAGUCGAUACGGGCAGACUAGAGUGCGGUAGGGGAGACUGGAAUUCCUGGUGUAGCGGUGAAAUGCGCAGAUAUCAGGAGGAACACCGGUGGCGAAGGCGGGUCUCUGGGCCGUAACUGACGCUGAGGAGCGAAAGCGUGGGGAGCGAACAGG